CCCUUAGAUGUUCUGGGCCGCACGCGCGCUACACUGACGAAUGCAACGAGCUUAUAACCUUGGCCGAAAGGUCUGGGUAAUCUCCAAAUUUCGUCGUGAUGGGGAUAGAUUAUUGCAAUUAUUAAUCUUCAACGAGGAGUGCCUAGUAAGCGCAAGUCAUCAGCUUGCGUUGAUUACGUCCCUGCCCUUUGUACACACCGCCCGUCGCUCCUACCGAUUGAAUGGUCCGGUGAAGCGUUCGGACCGUGGCCUUUGGACGGUUCGCCGUCUGUUGGCUGCGGGAAGUUCGUUAAACCUUAUCAUUUAGAGGAAGGAGAAGUCGUANCA
rnacentral:rRNA from 1 species